UUCCUUACUUUAUUAGUGAUCAUGAGCAAUUAAGAUGUUAAUGCUGUUAUUUGAGGUAUGAUGAGAUUAAUGGAGCACGCACAGUUCAACCCUUUCAAUUUAAUUGCUGUAACUAUCUGAAAGCUUUUGCACUUAUCUUGCCAUCCAUUUUCUUAACUCCCACAUUUUAAACGUUCAGCAAGAUAUUAGUUUUUUUUUCCAGCUGUGUGGCCUAGCCUACAAAAGAACAUCAAUAAAAGAUU